rnacentral:lncRNA from 1 species
AGGUGGGCGGCAAUUAUAUUUUUACAUAACUUCUGGUGAAUGUAGAGAAAUCCUUCUCUACUUGAAAUUGGUCUAAGUUAGAUAAAGAUCCAAUCCAAAUUGACCCAAUCUCAUUAGGUCAAAGCGAACUGGUCUAGGUUAGCUCAAAUAUUUUGAUCCAAACCAAUUUGGGAACUUGGGUUAAUACAAUGUGCUAGCAUAUCAAAUUAACCCAUAAAAUUUAUAUUAAAUUCUAACUAAAUUAGACCAAGGCUAAAUUUUUAAGUGUGUGAUCCAUUGAAUUUCAAAUCUAGCCAG